rnacentral:rRNA from 1 species
UACGUAGGGACCAAGCGUUGUUCGGAUUUCCUGGGCGUAAAGGGCGCGUAGGCGGCAAUUCAAGUCAUCUGUGAAAUCUCCGGGCUUAACUCGGAACGGUCAGAUGAUACUGCUUUGCUAGAGUGCGGAAGGGGCAAUCGGAAUUCUUGGUGUAGCGGUGAAAUGCGUAGAUAUCAAGAGGAACACCUGAGGUGAAGACGGGUUGCUGGGCCGACACUGACGCUGAGUGCGCGAAAGCCAGGGGAGCAAACGGG